rnacentral:lncRNA from 1 species
UUGAUAUCUUUCCUCAUAUACCUUUAAAAUGUACUUAUAUGAUAUAGUUUAGCUUCUGUUUUUGUUUUUAUUCUUUGGGACAUUGGGACAGCACUAUUAUCCCAGACCUAAAAGAAAUCUCUGCAAAUACCAUGCACUUACAUAUUUUAAAGUUGUCUGUAAAAUAUUUAAUUCGACUUCUAAAAGACUAAUAAAGUGAGGCUGGAGAGAUGACUCAUCGGUUAAGAGCACUGACUGCUCUUCCAGUGGUUCUGAGUUCAAUUCCCAGCAACCACAUGGUGGCUCACAACCAUCUGUAGUGAGAUCUGAUGCCCUCUUCUAGGGUGUCUGAAGACAGCUACAGCGUACUCAUAUAUUAAAUAAAUAAGUAAAUAAAUAUUACAAAGUGGGUGUGGCAGCCCCUGCUUGUUAUCACAACACUUAGGCUGAGGCAGGAGGAUUUUGUGAGGUUGAAAUACACCAGCUCUUAAAAAGUAAUUCAGAAGUUUAAACUUGGAAUGGAUAUUAGAUGAUGCACAGGAUUGGCUUUAUAAACUGUGGUAAUAGCAUCAUGGUUAUGUAAGAAAUGUCCUUCAUUUGUAAAGCUAUAUUCAAAAGGACAUGGAGAUAUGUGGUUAGAAUUUGCCCUAAAAUAAUUCAUUGGGGCGAGGGUGUCACAUGAACAUAUGGCAGAAACUGGCAGCUAUUGAGUUGAUGAUGGCUAAGUGGUGGGUCUGUGGACUUUCUUUCCUACUUCUGUAGGAAAGUUUUCAUAGUGAAAACAAAAGUGGUAAGUAGGAUGCUGGUCUCAAUGCCUGCAUACGUGAGCACUCAGUAAAUGUUAAUGGCUGGAUUUUGAGGCGGGGUGCCACUAUGUAGCUCUGGCUAUCCCGAGACUCACUAUGUAGACCAGGCUGCUCAACAUGCCCCUGCCUCCUGCCAUCUGAUUAAAGGUGUGCAUCAUCACAUCCGGCUGUUAUUUUCGCAUUCAUUAGUUGUUAAAGGGAAAAUAGUACUUUGAGUUAUAGAUGCAUGCAUAGAGGCAAAUAUGUAAAAUAUAUACAUAUUUUCCUUCAUUAAACUGGAAACACAUUUAUUUAUUUUUGUUGAUGUGUAUGUGUUAGGUACUGGAGGUCAGGCCCAGGGCUUUGACUCGUUAGGUAGGGUCUCUGCCACUCAGCUCUAGUCCAGCCCUAUGUCAUUUCUUUGUUUUGUUUUAAACAUUUAUUUAUUAUAUGCAAGUACACUGUAGCUGUCUGAAGACAUACCAGAAGAGGGCGUCAGAUCUCAUUACAGAUGGUUAAGAGCCACUGUAGUUGGUGGGAUUUGAACUGAGGACCUUUAGAAGGGCAGUCAGUGCUCUUAACCACUGAGCCAUCUCUCCAGCCCCCUCUAUAUAUAAUUUCAAAUGCCAAUAUUUGGUUGGCAACACUUAACCAUUCCUUGAUUGCAGUUGAUUUUUGUUUAAUUUUGUAGGGAUGUUCAUCCUGUUUACCAGUCAAAAUAUAGACAGAAAUAGUGUUGCCUUGAGAAAAUGAAAAUAUAAUCUAUUCUCUACUAUUUGGAUUUUAUUUAUUUUUAUUUUUCACAAACAUAUUUGUGGUUUUUCUUGGUUUGUUUUAUCUUGGAAGCUUUAAUUGUUCUGACAUAAUUACUUGCAAGUUUAUUGUGUAUCUAAAUUAAAAUAUUGUUUUCCAGAGUUAAGCUUAGUGUUUUAAAUGUCUUGACAGAUCAAAUUGUUCUUAAAUUGUUAAUACAGAGCUGAGUGGCUGAGGCAGGAGGAAUGUCUCCAGUUUAAGGCCUAUCUAGACUAAAACCCUGCCUCAAAACCAAUGGAAGAAAAUAGCACUUACUGUACACAUGUCACC